CUUGUUGAAUUAUACCUUGAAGAUCCUUUUGAACUAAUCUUUUGAGCUCGUUGUUGGAGCCGGGCAGAAUAAGCACCAUCGCAAUCUGACUGUUAUCGUUCUGGUCCCGGAUGUUUGUCUAAAAACUGACGAAAUCAACGCGUUGACUUUGCUUUUGAAAUCGAUCCGUCUGCCUAGGCCAGUGCUUGGUGGGAACUUCUGCUGCGACCGCAUGCGACAUGGCUCAGAUGACACAAAGCACAAUGCAGCUAGUGUUGUUAGUGAUAGCGCUGGCAACUCAUGUUUCCAUGACGAGCGGAAACACAAAUGAAGGAUGUGGUGACGCAGUAACAUUUGAGGAGGGCUUUGGGGG